rnacentral:lncRNA from 1 species
GGAGGGGGUAAUUCUUCGACCAGUUCUUAAAGUGGACAUUUGGCGCCCUCCACAGGGUUCGAAUGUGGGCUCUUGUGUCUCAAGCAUCACGUGAAUGUGUGACAGCACAGAGUAGUGAGACCACGCAGUACUAGAAACUGGAGGCAACGUUGGUUGAGUAUCCCUCAGUUGCACUUUCAGACAUUGGAAUUACAGCAGCAGUACCUUUUCUUAAUAGAGGGACAACCAACCAUGGCGGGACUUGAAUAAAGACGCGAGCCGAGCGAUAUUCGCCUAAACACUUUCCGCAUUUCUAUUUCAUACUCAAGUCGCUCCUCUUUUGCCCAAUGCAUCGGCGCUCUGUGGAGAAAGGACAGUGUUGAAACACUUUACUGGACUCAGUGAGAAGAAGAGAAGAGAAAGCCAAGUAAUUUUAAAGCAGAAUGGCGGACCGUGAUACGUUACCCCUUCCUUUGGAGGUGCGAACCAGACUUGCAGAGCUGGAACUGGAGUUAUCAGAGGGUGAGUUUGAACAUAUGAUUAUCCUAUCAGGCGUUUGCUUCUGCAGUCAAUAUUCACAUGUAAUAAUGUCAAGGAAGCAUGCUGUCAAUGAAACAAACAGGAAGGAAGAGGGCAGGACCUGUGGCAGCAGUGUGACCUCUCCCCCCUCUGCUGUGUCUAUAUCCAUCUAAUACGUCACUGUGUAUGGGGUACGUUCUAUUGCUAUCCCCCUCUGUUCUGCUGUCCAUGAAUACAUGGGAUUUCCUUCUCUGCUGAUGACCACUGUAAGGGAAUAGCAAAGCAAGACACUAAUCUGGACUACAAUAUACUGUGUGCUUUGAGCUUGUUAAGUGGCAACCAAUAAAGCGGCUAGCUGAAAGGCCGGUGCCAGCUUAGUUAGUUAGGCUAGAAAAGGUAUGUGCCGGCUUAGUUAGUUAGGCUAGAAAAGGUCUGUGCCAGCUUAGUUAGUUAGGCUAGAAAAGGUAUGUGCCGGCUUAGUUAGUUAGGCUAGAAAAGGUAUGUGCCAGCUUAGUUAGUUAGGCUAGAAAAGGUCUGUGCCAGCUUAGUUAGUUAGGCUAGAAAAGGUCUGUGCCGGCUUAGUUAGUUAGGCUAGAAAAGGUCUGUACCAGCUUAGUUAGUUAGGCUAGAAAAUGUCUGUGCCGGCUUAGUUAGUUAGGCUAGAAAAGGUCUGUACCAGCUUAGUUAGUUAGGCUAGAAAAGGUCUGUACCAGCUUAGUUAGUUAGGCUAGAAAAGGUCUGUACCAGCUUAGUUAGUUAGGCUAGAAAAGGUAUGUGCCGGCUUAGUUAGUUAGGCUAGAAAAGGUCUGUACCGGCUUAGUUAGUUAGGCUAGAAAAGGUCUGUACCGGCUUAGUUAGUUAGGCUAGAAAAGGUAUGUGCCGGCUUAGUUAGUUA